rnacentral:rRNA from 1 species
AGAGUUUGAUCCUGGCUCAGGAUGAACGCUAGCGACAGGCCUAACACAUGCAAGUCGAGGGGCAGCGAAGAGGUAGCAAUACCUUUGUCGGCGACCGGCGCACGGGUGAGUAACACGUAUGCAAUCCACCUGUAACAGGGGGAUAACCCGGAGAAAUCCGGACUAAUACCCCAUAAUAUGGGCUCUCCGCAUGGAGAGCCCAUUAAAGAGAGCAAUUUUGGUUACAGACGAGCAUGCGCUCCAUUAGCCAGUUGGCGGGGUAACGGCCCACCAAAGCGACGAUGGAUAGGGGUUCUGAGAGGAAGGUCCCCCACAUUGGAACUGAGACACGGUCCAAACUCCUACGGGAGGCAGCAGUGAGGAAUAUUGGUCAAUGGUCGGCAGACUGAACCAGCCAAGUCGCGUGAGGGAAGACGGCCCUACGGGUUGUAAACCUCUUUUGUCGGAGAGUAAAGUACGCUACGUGUAGCGUAUUGCAAGUAUCCGAAGAAAAAGCAUCGGCUAACUCCGUGCCAGCAGCCGCGGUAAUACGGAGGAUGCGAGCGUUAUCCGGAUUUAUUGGGUUUAAAGGGUGCGUAGGCGGCACGCCAAGUCAGCGGUGAAAUUUCCGGGCUCAACCCGGAGUGUGCCGUUGAAACUGGCGAGCUAGAGUACACAAGAGGCAGGCGGAAUGCGUGGUGUAGCGGUGAAAUGCAUAGAUAUCACGCAGAACCCCGAUUGCGAAGGCAGCCUGCUAGGGUGAAACAGACGCUGAGGCACGAAAGCGUGGGUAUCGAACAGGAUUAGAUACCCUGGUAGUCCACGCAGUAAACGAUGAAUACUAACUGUUUGCGAUACAAUGUAAGCGGUACAGCGAAAGCGUUAAGUAUUCCACCUGGGGAGUACGCCGGCAACGGUGAAACUCAAAGGAAUUGACGGGGGCC